rnacentral:rRNA from 1 species
AAAUGAAUAGACGGGGACCCGCACAAGCAGCGGAGCAUGUGGUUUAAUUCGAAGCAACGCGAAGAACCUUACCAGAACUUGACAUCCUCUGCAUCAACCUUAAUCGGUGAAAUCCCUUUUGGGACAGAGAGACAGGUGGUGCAUGGUUGUCGUCAGCUCGUGUCGUGAGAUGUUGGGUUAAGUCCCGCAACGAGCGCAACCCUUGUCUUUAGUUGCCAGCACUUUGGGUGGGCACUCUAGAGAGACUGCCAAGGUAAACUUGGAGGAAGGCGGGGAUGACGUCAAAUCAUCAUGCCCCUUAUGUUCUGGGCUACACACGUGCUACAAUGGCCGGUACAGAGGGUAGCGAGAGAGCAAUCUUAAGCCAAUCCCUAAAGCCGGUCCCAGUUCGGAUUGUGGGCUGCAACUCGCCCACAUGAAGUCGGAGUUGCUAGUAAUCGCGGAUCAGAAUGCCGUGGUGAAUGCGUUCCCGGGUCUUGUACACACCGCCCGU